UUUGAUAAAACUGUAUUUAAUUGUUUUAGAGCCUUGAAAAUCAUUGUGUUCGAUUGCCUCCAAAUCCAAGAAUUGGACUGUUUUCCUUUGAAGGGUACAUAUUAUGCAUGAAUCCUUACUGUUGCAUUAAUGCCCGCCCUAGAUCUCUUUCUUUCCUAUAUAUGUAUGCAUAUCUCUGGCGGGAGAGAGGUCCUUUAGAUCUAACAAUAAUCACCACCAGUUAAUCAACGCCAGCGUUCUUCUUCUCCACAUGAUCUUCGAUUCUGUGCUUUUAUUUUAAUUUUUCAUGGAGUCUGUUAAUUGGAGGAAGGUUUUCAUGUUUUUGUCAAAUUGUAGCAUAAUGUUUUCAUUUCUAAUUAUUCGUGUAAAAGUUGCAGGUGAAUUAGCUGCGUGGAAGAUUCUUUAUAUUUAUUUUCGACUGAACAUAAAUCAUACUAUGAUCUUUUUUUAUUUUGAUCACAUAUAUAUAAAAUCUAAAGUAGAUGAUGAAUAAAAGUACCCAUUUUAAUUAUAAGAAAAGUCAUAUAUAUUGUGUUAAAAGCGCAUGAAUACGAGCUUUUAAAGGAAUUAAAAAGAGUAGAUGACGUAAGGGUUUUGGACAUAAGAUAGAAAAAUUGUUGAUGAUAGUAAAAUAUAUGAAGGUUGGAAAAGGGGGAUGAAUUGCAUAUGAAAAGAUGAGAAAAUCGGGUAUAAGUAGUAAAGUUAAAAGAGAUUACCUGAAAGAAGAAAGAUGGUAUUAGAAGUUGUUUCUGAAUAGUUAGUAGCAUUAAGUAUAUAUGUAAAGGUGUUUUAAUUUUGAAAAGCGGCAUAUAGUUUUACAAAUGACUAUUUCUACAAGGCUUAUGAGCGAGGACUAAAUAAGUUGGACAAGAGGACCUUCCACUUUGGGUUGAACUCAUGGAAGUGCGCAUAUCUUUAUAGCUUUCUAGUUCGGAUGAAAGAGAGUUUGAGUGAAAAUAGACCCAAACCAUACACUUUUGGCUCUUCUUAACAAGGGCAGGUGUCCUUGUAAAUUUUAGAGCCUCCCCUUGAAGAUAGACUUACAUAGUGCAUAUAUAAACUGAGGAUAUACUUACAUAGUGCAUAUAAUAACUAGUUAGCACCAUCCUUGCUUUCUCAGUAACGAAAUUGCCUCUCAACCAAGAAAAAAAAAAUGAUCAACCAACAAUAAAAGUGGAAAAGAAAAUAUUUAACCUAACAAAGUUUUCAAAUAUUACAUUUACUAUGUAUAAUAAAAAUGAAAAGUAUUAUUAACGAGGCGCGCAUUCAGACGUGCCUUUUUUUGAAAUAAGCAAGAUGAGUUUAUAGUAAAACAAGUUAAUGACGCAAAUUAUUAAAAGAAACGAAGGUGACGCGAUUAAGAGUUGCUAGAAAAUUUGUAUGCGUGCGUAUGUAUGUAUAUGUAUGAAGGGAUAUGGAUGGAAAAGAGAAUAGGAGACGUUUCGAUUGAACCAUACUCUCUCUAGUCUCUACCUGAGGCAUGCUUUGAGAAACCUGAUUUUCUGUUCUUAGAGAACCCUUGCUACAAAGCAAGGGAAUUAUCUUCAUACAGCAAAGGAAAUUUAGCAUCUUACGUACCUCAACACUGGUCGAUUUAUAAGUGUGAGUCCAAGAUAACGUCACAUUGAUUCUCAGCCAUGGAACAUGGCUUCCAUCAGACUCACAACCGUAUUUAAUAUAGGUGUUGCCACUUUUUAGUUAAUCAAUAAAAGCUGUGGCAGUCAUAUAUAUAGGCAGUUUUUAAUUACAUUUCUAUUAAUGCUUUAUAUUUCAAGCAAAUUAAACAAAUGUUUUAACUUACUCUCACUCAUUCAUGCACACUCGUGUACCCUCUUUUCCACAACGCAUUUCUACAACCGAGUAGCAUUCUAGGUUUUCCUUCUGCUUCUCCGCUUACUGUCAUGAAUACAACCAUACUUAUCAAAUUGUUUUGUAUAGAGUUUUCUUAACCAAGUGAUUAAAGGCAACAAAGUUUUUAUGUAAAAAGCAAACUCUUAUCCUGUUGUUUGGUGUAAUUAGAGUACAAACACACUGUUUACUCAUAUUAAAAUUUUUUACAGCCAAAAAAGCGUUAAAAAACCAGUAGGGUACUAUUCAGUUACAUGACACUGUCUUCUAGAAAUAAAUCAUUC
rnacentral:lncRNA from 1 species